AUCAGGAUUCGUUUUUAAGUUGAAGUGACCAAAAUACAACUCAAACUAACUCAAGCAAAAAAGAAAUAGGUACUGGGGAGAGGGGACAGUAGGGGAACAGGCUCCCACAUACUGAGAUCUGGGAACACAAAGGGAAGUUAUCAGGUCUCUCUCCCUCUCAGCUCUGCUUCUUUCAGUGUGGUGGCCUCAUUCUUUCUAACUGAAGAACGAUCUUUACUGCAGAAAAUUCUAAGCAUUAUUGUGGCAGAUCCAGUAAGUCCCAGAGAAGGAUUCUGAUUGGUCCUGCUUCAGUCACAUGCUUGCAUCUUAGUCCAAUCACUGUGGCCUGGAGGAUGGGACACCAUGAUUUGCAAGACUCUGGUCACAUGCCCACACCUGUGGCUUCUGAAGCAGAGCACCAGCAGUGACAGUCCCACCAGAACCGCAUGGAAUAGAAAACUGUGCAUUUCCCUAAGGAAAGGGAAUGCCAGAGAAGGGCAGAAGGGAAAUCAGGAAGACAAAACGUGUCUUCAUGUUGGAGUGGACCUUUCCUCUAUCUGUCAACAGAAUGGAUAAAUUGUGGAAGAGUAAUAUCAGAAUACUACACAUCAGUAAAAAACAACAAACUUCUGCUACAAACAAUCAACAUCGAUGAAUCUUUCAGGCAAAAGGUUAUAGAAACAGAUGAUCAGUGGCCCACGGAUUCCAGGUGAGGAUCUGGGACCCAGACAUCCAGAUAUUGAAAACACAGGGAUGGAGUCUGUAUGGAAAAAAUUAAAAUAUAGCAAAAUGUGAAAUACGGAAGAGAAAUCUUUCAAUUUCCCAAUGGAAGUGAGAAAAGAGCAAAGAAAAGUAUUGGUCUUCCAAAACAAAUAGAGGACGGAGCUGCUGCUGUUGCAUGGUGUCUAGAAACUCAGACAACUUCAUCAUUCCAUAUUUGCAUCCAAGAGAGAGAAAGAAAAACUACAAUCAUUUUCCAUUUACCCAUCAACCCAUCAACCUCCAAAUAAAGGCUAUUAAAAAACAAUCAAAGUGUGAAGAGGGCAGAAAAUGUGAUGAAGAGAUUCUUUGGAGAAAGUAGCUGCCACUGUUACCUUGGGAUCUGCCUAUAGUCCUCACAGAGCUUGAGACAGGGUCUCACUAUGUUGCCCCAGUUGGCCUUGAACUGCUGGACUCAAGGGAUCCUCCUGCCUCAGCAUCCUGAGUAGCUGGGUCUACAGGCAUGAACCACCAGGCCCAGAACCCUGUCUUUUGAAAGCCAUAUGCGAUCUGUCUGCCCUGAAGUGACUACUUCAUCUCCAACCAGCCCUUGGCUGGCAAAGUCAGGAAGACUCCAGUCUUUCCUGAAGACCAGGGGAGAGUUUAUAACUCUAGCAUCAAAGUCAGCAGCUGUUCAUCUAGAAGACAACUUCCCAAAAGUCAAUGUCUUUGCCUGAAGCUUUUCUUCCCAGAUCUCCUAUGGUGAAACAACCAAAGGGAAGAAGAAUGUGGGCAGCCCUCAGUAAGACAGGAGAUGAGCAUCAACAUUGACCCAUUCUUUCUUCCAGUCCUCGAUGCUUACCUUGUACAUUCUUCUUUGUCUUCCGACUCAGUGCCUUUAGGGUAUGGACGUUGCCUGGUCCCACACAAGCCAAGCAUCAAAUGGAUGGCUCAACAAGGAGGCCAAGACCAGCUAAUGUUUAGUGAGCACCCAAAGGGGCCACACUGGAGAGAACAGCACAGCUCCGUCUGAGAAACAGCUGUUCCUUCCUGCCUGAGAGGCAGAGUGAUAGAAGAUAUCACAGAAUGUUGCUGCUUUGUCUUCCACCCUGAACCCUCCACGACCUCCCUGUAGCUUCCUGAUUUUAAGUAGACAUCAAAUGAUUCUUAAUCCUUUCUGGGUCUUGGAACGAUUUGAAAAUUGUCAACAGUACUGGGAUUCCCAGAAUAAUGCACAUAUGUACAUACUCAGAUAUUCCCCAAGCCCUGGAUAUAAUUUUAAGGGAGUUCACAGACCACACUCCCCCACCCAUCUGUGGACCCAGAUUCUGUGGGUUCGAGAUUCAGAAGCCCUGUUUCUAGGCAGGCCCUCUGUUGCUAACGCCCCUCGAGAACAUCACCCUAGAUGAUUAUCCCUUCUUCCUCCACUCCUUCCCACCUUCUCCAACUGCUGGGUUUCAGCACAAAGAUUGCUUGCCAGUUAAACUGGCACCAUGGACCGCACAGUAGUUGUUUCUUGGGUCUAGAGGAAACAGCCAGAUUCCUUUAAGUAAAUCAUGUCUUAGUUAUUGAUUGUCUCCACUUGAAGUUUUUGACAAUCUCUGAUUAAAUCAUAAACCACUGCAUCCUCCAUCUCCUGCUUCAGUCUCUCAAACCAAAUGUCAGUUUCUUUGUAGCCCUUCAAUUCAAAGUUUGCAAAUUCUGGAUCUAGGCUUCAUUCUUUCACUCAUUUAAGCACUAACAUCUAUUGCAUAACUAUUAAAUGCCAGGCACUGUUCUAGGCAUCAGGGACAUAAUAAUGUACAAAACAGCCUUCAUGUUAAUUUACUUAUU
rnacentral:lncRNA from 1 species